CAGCCGCCGCGGGAAGACGAACCGUGCGAACGUUAUUCGGAAUCAUUGGGCUUAAAGCGCGUGUAGGCGGAUGGGAACGUCGGUCGCUGAAAUACCCCGGCUCAACCGGGGAACUGGCAUCGAAACGACCCGUCUCGAGGGGCAUAGGGGGAGCUGGAACUUCCGGUGGAGCGGUGAAAUGCGUUGAGAUCGGAAGGAACGCCCGUGGCGAAAGCGAGCUCCUGGAUGUCUUCUGACGCUGAGACGCGAAAGCUAGGGUAGCGAACGGGAUUAGAUACCCCAGUAGUCCCUGUCUCUUAUA
rnacentral:rRNA from 1 species